rnacentral:misc_RNA from 1 species
GAUGAAGAACGUAGCGAAAUGCGAUACGUAAUGUGAAUUGCAGAAUUCAGUGAAUCAUCGAGUCUUUGAACGCACAUUGCGCCCCCUGGUAUUCCGGGGGGCAUGCCUGUCCGAGCGUCAUUGCUGCCCUCAAGCACGGCUUGUGUGUUGGGCCUCCGUCCUCCUCCCGGGGGACGGGCCCGAAAGGCAGCGGCGGCACCGCGUCCGGUCCUCGAGCGUAUGGGGCUUCGUCACCCGCUCUUGUAGGCCCGGCCGGAGCUUGCCGACACAUCAAUCUUUUUUCCAGGUUGACCUCGGAUCAGGUAGGGAUACCCGCUGAACUUCAGCAUAUCAAUAAGCGGAGGA